GUCUUGGGGGUCCCGCAAGGGAUCACCGGCGAACGGGUGCGUAACACGUAAGCGACCUACCGCGGAGUGGGGGAUAGCCGGCCCAACGGCCGGGUAAUACCGCAUACGCUCUUGGGGGUACCUGCCUCUGGGAGGAAGCCUUUAUUGGGCUCUGCGCGGGGCUUGCGGCCUAUCAGCUAGUUGGCGGGGUAACGGCCCACCAAGGCGACGACGGGUAGCUGGUCUGAGAGGAUGGCCAGCCACAUUGGGACUGAGAGACGGCCCAGACUCCUACGGGAGGCAGCAGUGGGGAAUCUUGCGCAAUGGGCGAAAGCCUGACGCAGCGACGCCGCGUGUGGGAGGAAGCUCUUCGGGGUGUAAACCACUGUUGCCCGGGACGAACAGCUCGUUUAGACGAGCCUGACGGUACCGGGUGAGGAAGCACCGGCUAACCCUGUGCCAGCAGCCGCGGUAAUACAGAGGGUGCGAGCGUUGUCCGGAAUCACUGGGCGUAAAGGGCGCGUAGGUGGUAACCUAAGCGUGCGGUGAAAGCCCGAGGCUCAACCUCGGGUCGGCCGUGCGAACUGGGUCACUCGAGCAGAAUAGAGGCAGGUGGAAUUCCGGGUGUAGCGGUGGAAUGCGUAGAGAUCCGGAAGAACACCGGUGGCGAAGGCGGCCUGCUGGGUUCUGGCUGACACUGAGGCGCGACAGCGUGGGGAGCAAACAGGAUUAGAUACCCUGGUAGUCCACGCCGUAAACGAUGGGCACUAGGUGCUUGGGGGAGCGACCCCCUGGGUGCCGGCGCUAACGCAUGAAGUGCCCCGCCUGGGGAGUACGGCCGCAAGGCUGAAACUCAAAGGAAUUGACGGGGGCCCGCACAAGCGGUGGAGCAUGUGGUUUAAUUCGACGCAACGCGAAGAACCUUACCUAGGCUUGACAUGCACGGGAAACUUCUUGAGAAACCAGGGGCCUCCUUCGGGACUCGUGCACAGGUGCUGCAUGCUGUCGUCAGCUCGUGUCGUGAGAUGUUGGGUUAGUCCCGCACGAGCGCACCCUGUCCUCUAGUGCAGC
rnacentral:rRNA from 1 species